rfam:Dyella jiangningensis strain SBZ 3-12, complete genome.
GGGGGUGUCAUGGCUUCGACGGGGGUAGUGAGAUGGCUUGGUGCAUGCCGAGGGGGCAGCUUUCCUCGUUAAUCCAGCGGCAAAACUCAUAGUUGCCAACGACGACAACUACGCUCUGGCCGCUUAAGGCCUAGCCCCGAACCCACUUGUGCUCGUGCUCGUGGAUGUAGGGUCAUUAUCACGAGAUCGCCCGAAGCUGCCGCCUGUCGGCAAGGGUUAAAUCAAGCAGGCUGGUCCUUCGAUGCGCUUUGCACGCUGUGCUGUCGCGGGACGAGAUCUAACGGCGAGCUAAGCAUGUAGUACCGGGCGUCAAACGCCUUCGGACGCGGGUUCGACUCCCGCCACCUCCACCA